rnacentral:rRNA from 1 species
CCUACGGGUGGCAGCAGUCGAGAAUCAUUCACAAUGGGGGAAACCCUGAUGGUGCGACGCCGCGUGGGGGAAUGAAGGUCUUCGGAUUGUAAACCCCUGUCAUGUGGGAGCAAAUUAAAAAGAUAGUACCACAAGAGGAAGAGACGGCUAACUCUGUGCCAGCAGCCGCGGUAAUACAGAGGUCUCAAGCGUUGUUCGGAAUCACUGGGCGUAAGGCGUGCGGAGGCUGUUUCGCAAGUCGUGUGUGAAAGGCGCGGGCUCAACCCGCGGACGGCACAUGAUACUGCGAGACUAGAGUAAUGGAGGGGGAAGCGGAAUUCUCGGUGUAGCAGUGAAAUGCGUAGAUAUCGAGAGGAACACUCGUGGCGAAGGCGGGUUCCUGGACAUUAACUGACGCUGAGGCACGAAGGCCAGGGGAGCGAAAGGGAUUAGAUACCCUGGUAGUC